rnacentral:tRNA from 1 species
UCAAACUAAACCUAGUUUUAGGGUUAUUAUUUACAUUAAUAAUUAGACUUAGAAGUCUAGUUUGAU